ensembl:lncRNA
CGAAUGGCGCCCGGGGUCUCCUGCGGGAACAGACGGAGACUCGAAUCUACAAGCGGGUGUCGCUGGGCUCGAGUGUUCAGUUGGAAGAAGGUUGCUGCUGGUCGCGUCUGCCGCUGCAAACCUCGCUCACGUUACGCGACUGAACGCGACUAAAGCCGUUAGCCGGCUCAGGCUACUUGCUAACACAAGGGGAUGACAUGCUAAUCCAACUGUCCUGAAAAACACCGGAACGGUCUGGGUCCCUUUUGGCUGGACAUGUCUCACAGACUGACCAAGGAGGAGCUGGACGAAGAGUUUGACCUGUUCCUGAAGGAGGUCGGUGACGCUGCGGCGGCGGUAGACCACCACACACUGGACUAGAUAUUCCAGUUGAGAAUGUCCCUCUGGGACAGUAAAUGUAGAACCUGGGACACAACGAUGCAGUGAGACACAAUUCUAUGCACAGACAAAAUACAGAGAUGGUCAAACUGCAUCCCCCGUGCUCCCACCCAGAAUCAAUCCAGAGCGAGGGACUCGUAUGAGAAGGACCUCCUCAACAAUUUCAACUGUCACAUUGUUUUCUGGUCACAAGAGGUGAAGAUCUAAUAACUCACUGUGAUUGACUGACAGGUCAACACCCCGGCGUUGUCCGUGCUUUCAUCUUCGAACUUUGACCCUUUCACAGUGUUUAUUGUUAAAAGGAUCCCCAUUCGCUGUGACCAAAGUGGGAGGAGCUAAUCUUCCUGCAGUUCAACAAAAAGAAAAAUCACUUAACGACAAUAAACUAAAAGCAGUAAAACAUUGUAUCAUUAUAAACAUCAUCAGAACUAUUUCACAAUAAGUUAUUAUAGUAUUACAUUCAUACAGUAAAUAUGUCCAUUCCCUACUCACAAUUUUAAGUGCAUUCUCUCUCAGAUAGUACUUGAUAGAGACUUUAUUAUUCAUUUUACGUAUAUUAUUAUUAUAUAUUAGUUAUAUAAGAAAACCGGUUGAGAAGAAAAGACGACGUGUGAAAAGCAGCCUGUUCUCUACUGUGCAUACUGAUCGCCGUCGUUCUUAUGGGACAUUGUAAGACUAACCUGGCAGCUCUGUUUGGGGCAGUUUGUAAUUAUUUUAUUUGACCUUUAGAUUCAGAUGACCAUACAGGUGCACAAUAAUCUAAGCGACAUAGAAUUAGAGGUUUGGCCACCUGUUCCACAAUGUGUGAAGGGACAUAAAGACAUUUCCUCACUAUAGAGAUCCUACAACCCAUCUUCACUAUGGGGUCAAUAUGUUGUUCCCAUGACGGCUGAUUGUACCUAGUAAUUAGACUUUAUCUACCGGUUAUCUAUAGGUUGCCCAGACAAGUGCAAACUCAUCUUUGGUGUAGAUGACAGCUCAUGACUCCAUCCCAAGAUUUGGUUUUCGAGAUGUUCAGUACCAAUUUAUUUUGUUUUAUCCAAUCAAAAACCACAUUUAAAUCAGCUGAUAAAACAUUGUCCAGUUCACUGACAGUUCUUGCAGCAUAAUACAACGUGGAAUCAUCAGCAUACAUUUGUACAGUUGCUUUACACAAUACUGAUGGAAGAUCAUUUGUGAAGAUGGCGUAUUAGAGUGGUCCAAGGCAGAUCCCUUGCGGGACUCCGCAAUCCAAGACCUUGGAGUCAGACCAGCUGCCGAUGUAAUAAACCCGUUGUGCUCUAUUUGUAAGAGUAAGACUCUUCACAAAUAACCAUCUGACUGCUGUCCGGGUUCAGUUUCUCAUUGAUCAUUACAUUACAGGUCAUUUUAGCAGACGCUUUUAUCCAAAGCGACUGACAUUACACUUUAAACCCAUGGCUUUUUCACAUUUUUGCCCGGGGAGCAAUUAGGGGUUAGGUGUCUUGCUCAGGGACACUUCGACAUGGAACAUGGGGCAGCCUGGACUCAAACCACCAACCUUGUGCUUCCCAGCACACCUCUAACCCCUGCGCCACGACGAUCACACACCUGACUGUCCUCAGUCUCCUUCCAGCUUUCAUCCACAACAAGGUUAUUCCUUCUUGUUUGACCCUCCAAGUAGUCCGCUUUCUCCGUCAUCUCGGUCAUAUUCCCCUGCAGUGGAUUGUUCUCAAUCAAUUUUCUCAUUUUCUUUGUUCAAUCAUCCAUGUCUUUCUGAGAGAAUUGCAGGCUGCUUCUCAGCUCCUGUGUCUCCCUGGUCAAUUUGUCAACCUGAGUGCUCACAUUGUUCACAAAUAAUUCCACAAGAGUCUUGAAGUUGCAUGAACGGAUCCCUUUGUUGACUCCAACUCCUCUCUAUUAUCUCAUCUGCUCUGGUGCCUCUUGGACGGCACGGUCCACCAAAGAUCUCAAAGUAUGAAGAUCAUCCACUGCUUUCCACUAGUUUACUUAUAAAAUAUAGUGUCAGAGUGAAUAAUUAAACAAUGCAAGUUUUUAAAACACUUUAAAUGUAUCAGGAGCUGCUGAGUCCAGUGUGUUCAUGAUCUAACUCCCCCGUCCUCUUUCAUACAGCCUGUGAUGUGCGCUGGAGAUACCGUUCCACUGCUUCCUGCGGUGAUAACAGGAGGCAUUGGCACCCACAGUCCACAACAACGCACAUCGCCUAAUCGCUCUGAAUUCAUCAAGCAGAAGCACAAAGAGGCUGAACCUAAACCUGAUUUCCCGUCAGUCCGUUUCAGAUGACUCGGACAAGCAGCCCGGCCCUAAAAGCAAACCCUGGUGGCAGGAUGAGCAGCACAGCGGGGGAGCAUCAGGGGGAAAAGAGGGUGAGGUUUGCUGUGAUGACUGUACCUGUACACCUGUUACUAUGAUAAAUGGACCCUAUUUUCUGCUAAAGUGAAUACAUGUUUGAAAGGUUCUUCCAUCUAAACAGUGUGAUGCCGCGCUGGAAUGAACAUCUGGUGGCUUGUUUGUUGUGUCCAGACCGGACCGUCUGCCUAAUAUCAGCCCAGGUUGUUUUAAGCCGACCCAAUCAAACAUCACUCACAGCCCCGAUGAAGCACAUGUGCCGUCGCUUCUGGAAUGUUUGAUGUUAUGAAGGAAUAAAACUGGAAAGAUUCCUCACUUUUCUGUGGAUGUCCAUGGGUGACCCAGAAAGCUGAAUCCUCCUGCUCGAGGAGCUCUGCCGGUGGUGCCUGCAUGUACCAGAAUGUACCAGAAUGCAUUGCGCACACAUUUUUGGCCAUCAUGCUCUGUACUGCAUCCUGGAUUCGCCUGGAAUCACUGCGGCUACGGAGUAUCCGCGUCCGCCAAAGCAUCCCGGUCCCUAACAUCUUAUUCACUCGUGUUCUGUGCACUAGGGCUGUCAACCCAGAGGGUCCAGGAUGGUUCUGAGCAUCCCCCUUCAUCACAAGGGAGCCCUCGAUCAAUGCAAUCUCAGUCACUACAGCACGUACCGUUCACUUUACCUUCUACACCGAUUGGACAUGCAUAUUAAGGGGCCCAUUUCUCUUUUUCAAAUCCAAAUGACAACGCUGCUGUUGCACCAGCUCUUUGUAUGUUCAACUGUGAAGAAGAGUUGGAUGUAACUGAGGAUACAAAGUUCUUCUGUAUUUACAGGACGGAGCGGUGCCAAAGAUGGUAACUAUUAUUAGGAUAUGCAGUCACGUAGGAUGGGAAUAACUUAUUACAGAAGCUGUUUGGUGAAUUAAUGGAUUUGCAUUUUUUUCGUAUUGAUAUUUAAUUCAAUACGAUAUUGAUAAUUCAAUAUGAUAUUGAUAUUUGGGUUUUGGAGUAUUGGUCAAACAAAAAGGGCUCCCCGGCUCAGAUUGAGGUUCCCAAUAGAAACCAAAGUGUAUUUUUGGACCAUCCUACUCAUCAAGUUGGAAUUCCUCUUUCUGUCUAACUUUCCACUUGUGAAGCAUCUCUCCUCAACACCCAAUCCAACACUUUCUUUCUCCUGCUUCAGGACUCGGGUCCCUGAACUGACCAGUAAAAUGCACAAUGCAAAUGGUCAUUUGACUAGUCGAUUCUCCAGGGGCCUCAUUUAUAAAAGCUUGCGUAGGAUUUGCACCAGAAGUGUCGUACGGAUGAAACGUAGGACGUGCGUACGCACAGAAAUAUUCAGACUUAUAAAACGUCCUACGCAGUUUUCCCUUAAUAAAUCACAAUCACUUCUAAAUGCAGCGCAGCUUUUGCGGCUUCAUGUCGCGCCCACAGUUGCCCAUAUAUAGUCUGUGGAACGCCCACAAAUUAAUAUUCAUCGAUUGCGAAAUGAUGACAAACACUGAGAGGAAAAUGAAGAAACGUAACUUCACUCAGUGUGAAGUGGAAAUGAUCAUUGGGAGGUGGGAAGGAGGAGUAAGAUGCUAUUUGGAGGACACAGUGUGGAUCACUG